rnacentral:rRNA from 1 species
UGUCGUCAGCUCGUGUUGUGAAAUGUUGGGUUAAGUCCCGCAACGAGCGCAACCCUUAUCCUUUGUUGCCAGCGGUCCGGCCGGGAACUCAAAGGAGACUGCCAGUGAUAAACUGGAGGAAGGUGGGGAUGACGUCAAGUCAUCAUGGCCCUUACGACCAGGGCUACACACGUGCUACAAUGGCGCAUACAAAGAGAAGCGACCUCGCGAGAGCAAGCGGACCUCAUAAAGUGCGUCGUAGUCCGGAUUGGAGUCUGCAACUCGACUCCAUGAAGUCGGAAUCGCUAGUAAUCGUGGAUCAGAAUGCCACGGUGAAUACGUUCCCGGGCCUUGUACACACCGCCCGUCACACCAUGGGAGUGGGUUGCAAAAGAAGUAGGUAGCUUAACCUUCGGGAGGGCGCUUA